rnacentral:lncRNA from 1 species
GGUUGUCUCAACUCGCCGGGUCAGAAGUAUUUUCUCAUCUUCCCAAGUUUUCUCUUUGGAGGCAAAGUUGGUCUUCAAAUUCUCCGUCUCAGAAAGGCUUAUUUGCAGUUUGGAGGUGGAAGACUUGAUUUCUGAUUCCUGGCUCGCUAGCCGGGUCUUUGCGUCAGUCAGUUGAGAGUUUAGUUCAGACAAUGCAUUAUGUGAAACAUUCAUAUAAAGUCAAGACUUGGUUUUAAAUUCCAGUAUCCAAAUUCAAGAUUCAAGUCCCAAGUACUUUACUAAUAAACCACUUGGCACUUGGGGGCUAAUGUAUGCCAAAUCAAAAUUUUACAACUCUAACAACAUUUUGAAGUCCCAAGUCCUUUACAAAGUAAUAGCACUUGGCACUUGGGGGCUAAUGUACGCAGUUCAGCAAGUUUAUCAAGGAUAAACCAGAAUGUUAAGUAUUUUGCAGAUGGUUUUGAAAUUCUGAAGUACCGAUUCAUUAAUGAUCAAAAUAAACUGGUACUUGGGGACUACGGGUGAAGUCUUGUUCUAUCAAUAUUAGGCAAAGAUUCAGAGGUAAAGGUCUCGGCCUAUAUUUUAAGUCUAUAGGUUAUUCCGUUCCUCUCAUAAUCUACAGACUUGGGGGCUGAAGGAAUAUUGGUAACCCGGAAACAACGUACCUCAUAUUUCAACUGAAGCUGCUUGACCAUCUCGAUCUUAGACUCACGACUGGAAUGUACAUGACUGAGAUAGCCGGAUAAGAUAUCACUAGCAUUAAGACGGUCGUAGUUGGCAACAUCAAAGCGAACCUUUUG